rnacentral:rRNA from 1 species
GAUCAUGGCUCAGGAUGAACGCUGGCGGCGUGCCUAACACAUGCAAGUCGAGCGAGAAGUUCACAAGAAAUCUUCGGAAGACCGAGUGAGCGGAAAGCGGCGGACGGGUGAGUAACGCGUAGGUAACCUGCCCUGUACAAAGGGAUAGCCACUGGAAACGGUGAUUAAUACCUUAUGAAACCGGACAGUCACAUGGCUGACCGGUCAAAGAUUUUAUCGGUACAGGAUGGACCUGCGUCUGAUUAGUUAGUUGGUGAGGUAACGGCUCACCAAGGCGACGAUCAGUAGCCGACCUGAGAGGGUGAUCGGCCACAUUGGAACUGAGACACGGUCCAAACUCCUACGGGAGGCAGCAGUGGGGAAUAUUGCACAAUGGGCGCAAGCCUGAUGCAGCAACGCCGCGUGAACGAAGAAGGCUCUUGGGUCGUAAAGUUCUGUUCUGAGGGAAGAAGAAAGUGACGGUACCUCAGGAGAAAGCCCCGGCUAACUACGUGCCAGCCGCCGC